AACUCCCCUUUAUAUUCAUUUCAAAUUCGGAACUUCCCUUCAUAUUCAUUUCAAAUCCAGAUGAAGAAUGUAUUCUUUUCAAAUCCAGAUGACUCCUCUUCAUGUUUGUUUCUUGACUUUUCCUUUCACAUUCAUUAUUUAGUUACAAAAUGAGGAACUCUUUCAUCGUUGGUUUGCUUUGGCAUCAUUUGUUUAUAAAACAUGUAACCCAUCUGUCAAGAGAGGCCGAUGCCGUCUAUAACUCUAUAUACAACAUCAUCUCUCCAUUUUUUCAUUUCUUCAUUUCCUUUCGUUGUUUUUUGAAACUAUUUUACUUCCUCUUUUGUUUGCACAAAUUUCUUGAAAAAUCUUUGUCUCUGAGUUUUGAAGGUAAUGUUUAAUGGCUUUAAUAAGUACUAAUUUUUUUUUACUUUUGUGAGUCUCUAUGUUUCAAAGGUAAUGUUUAACAAGUAACAAAUUUUUUUGUGUUGUUAUCUUAUUCUUGCUUUAUUAUUACUUACGAUCUUUGAUGUUAUGUUAGUCUCCGAGUUUGAUGAUCAAUGGCUUUAAUAAGGUACUUUUUUUUUUACUUUUAUAGAUCUCUGAAUUUCUAAGGUAAUGUUUAACAAGUAGCAAAUUUUUUUGUUCUAUUCUCUUACUUUGCUUCAAUAUUAUUAUCAUCUUUGAUGUUAUGUUAGUAUCUGAGUUUGACAGUCAAUGACUUUAAUAAGUACUAUUUUUUAUUUUACUUUUAUGGGUCUCUGAGUUUCGAAGGUAAUGUUUAACAAGUAGCAAACUUUUUUGUUCGGUUCUCUUACUUUUGCUUUACUAUUACUUAUCAUAUUUGAUGUUAUAUUAUUGAUGAAUGUGAAAUAAUGUUACAUUUGUAUUGCAUUUUAUGACAUAAUUAAGACUUAAAGAAUAUUUUUAGCUUUAAUUUCUCUUUGUUCGAGUUGAGCAGAUAUUUUUAGCUAUGUUGUGUAGGUUGGAUGAAUUUAAGUCAGAAAGAGUAGAGAUUUGGUUUGAGAAGAUAAAAGUCGGUAUUAAGGCAAUGCGAAGACCAAUUGAAGGGACAAAAGAGUCACAUUGGAGCCUAGAUCGAAGAGAAGCAACUUGAAGUGAAUGCGUCACACAUGCCCAAGUCGUGCUUGUAUCCAUGGUCGUGUUCCACCACCCACGACCAUACAUAAACACAUGUUUCUAAUCCUAUUUUAUUGAGUGUUGUGAUUUAAAUCAUUAAACUGAGUUUUAUUCGUACGUGUUGUCUUCCCAACAAUUUACACACUUUAGAUACAUUGGGGAAGGACUGAGAGGUGAGCCAAACUAUCCGACUAUUUAGUUAUUCAAACGAGGAUCCUAAGUCACGAGAGUAGUCUUAGGAUUUUCGGAGGUUUCUGAAUUGACCUUGGGUAGCUACGAAACGAUUGGGUAAAAAGAUCCAAGUAAAAUAUUCGAUUGAUAAUCGCACCACGAGAGUAUGUGCAACAUCAAUUGAGUACAUGUGUUGGACUUUGAGAGAUGAUGACACAUAUCAAAGAGAAAUUCAUCUUUACAACGUAAAGUUCAAGAACAUGAGAAAAACAAGGAUUUGCUAGUAUAAAGACGGUAACCAUUAUCUUGAGAACUCUUCCUAAAAUUAGAUUUCAAUCAUUUUUACUGUUUUCAUAAUUAUUCUUGUAAACUGUUCAAUUGUUUUAGAUUCAAUUUUAAUCAUUCUUUG
rnacentral:lncRNA from 1 species